GAUAAGUACGGCCAUGUGACUAACUGAGGACUGCUGAAAUGCAAGAAGUAUGUAGGGUUUUGGGAACAUCUCCUUAAAAGAUUUCCAGUGCUGGGCUCUGAGAUGCAGAGAGAGAGGACAAGGUCACAGAAGUUCCCCAUAGAAGGACUCUAACUAGUGACCCAUCUUAUCUGAGACAAGACUGGAUCUGCAUUUCUCCUCUCAGUGUCUGGAACCUUGCACUGCGCCUGACCGAGCAAAGACCAAGCGGCCCCUGGAGGUUUGGCAA